rnacentral:sRNA from 1 species
GGACCACACAGGUGCCAUGGACCACAGGGGCAGAGCAUUGUAAUUUCCAACCCUCUGGGAUGAGUCUGACGACAGUAACUCAGAAAUUGAGGCUGCUUUACGCCCUAGAAACCAUAACACCGACGAUUCUGAUGAUUUUUAUGACUAACAUGCUGUGACAUCUGUUCCAAAUAAAGUCUUUAAACAAACU